AGAUUUUGAUUAAGAGGUUGUGAUUACACCAACGUUUGGUUUUAGUGCUCAUCCACUGUUCAAAAGAUGGAUGCGGUGUAUGGCAAAGACAUAAACGAACAAAGAAUUAAAGCCAAAAUGGCUCGGCUAGCGCACAAGAGAAGAUUAAUGACUUAACGUAAUGACCCAUUAAUGAAUCAACGUUUCUUAGAAAUUGAAAGAGAGGCGCGACGUUUGAGAAGUGCAUACUUGCGUCUAAGACGAUUGCGGCGUGCGCCCUUUCUGGUCCGGAACGACCGCAAUAGUGUGAAUGCUCAUGUCAUCCCCAUUGGAGGACAAUCCGUCAAUAUUCCACUACCAACAUCGAAUGAGCCAAAUCCAACCGAAGCUUCCAUGGAAAAUUUGAAUGGAGAUCAAAAAACUAAUCAAAACAUAAUGCUUCCCGUCGGCCAUCCAAAUAUCGGUUAGUCUUACAGUUUUUCCUAUCAAUCGUCAAUUGUUACAAUUUUGAUUUUUUAUAAACUGAAUUUGAGAGAGAGCAAGUAGUGAAUUUUAACCUCACAUCUACAGGUAUAAAUUCAAUAAGAACGCGAAGUCGUACUCAGCCAAAUGUGACGUGUUCUCGAUCAAUACGUUUGCCAGUAAUACUAGAAGAAGGAACAUCAACUAUGUUUCAUGAGACAAUCCUAAUGCCAAAUGAAGGUAUAUUGACCGAUUGUCCAAUAAACAUUAUCAUUCUUUCAAAGAAAUCAAUCAAAUAGUUUAAAAUU